rnacentral:misc_RNA from 1 species
GAGAGAGAGAGAGAGAGAAAGAAACUGAAAAAAAGAAAGAGAUAUACACCAUAUAUUCUUGAUAUGGUAAGGCAACUAAGGGCCAAAUAACUAUUGUAUCAUAUAAACCACGGUUGAUGAAGCAUUAAAACAGGGUAUUACCCCCUGUUACUUACUGCUUCAACUGAUUUUGUUUAUUCAGAACACUCAAAAAGCAUAAGUCCUGCUCUUUGGAGAAUCCGCAAUUUUCAAGGUUUCUUCAAUGAGCUUCCUAGCCUUCCUGCUUCUUAUCUCAAUUCUCAUACUUUCACUUUUGUCCAUCUUAUCAUAUGGUUUCUUCAUCUUCAGAGACCUUAUCUUUGAUUUUAAGGUCACCACCAACCUCUCCAAUCCCAUCAUCACCAUGUUCAAAGCCUGUAAAAAGAAUAUAAACGAGUAGAAAUUAGUAACUGGUAGGCAAAGCUAAAUCUUAGAAAGAAAAGAGCUUUUGUGAGUUGGGGGGCUGUGAGAGAAGAGAAGCAAGAGACAGAAACCUUAUGGCAGAUUGAGAGUGAGAAAUGAAAGUGUUAGAAAAGAAGAGAAGUUGAAGUUGAGAUGCAAGUUAGGACUUUUAUGGAGCUUCUUAUUACAGAGUUGGAGUUGGAGGAAGAGCAGCCAAGAAAGAGAAGAGUUGGGGAGAGAGGAGAAGAAAAUAAGAGAGAUGAUAUGAAUGAAUUGAACGGCUGCAAGUCACAUUGAAAGCAUUAAAAUCUUGGAAGUUGGAUAGCAGACCACGCAACGGUUAGGAGCUAAGCCUCUCUGACCUUCUGUGGAGAAUACUAGUUUAAUUCUAUUCUCUACAUAUGGUACAAUCAUGAUUUUUUUUAUUCCAUAAAUGCCCUCUAGAAAUAAUUAUUUUAUGUGGAUUUUUAUUUAUUUUAUUUGAAGCCUCUAGGUAAACGUAGCCAUCCCAGUUUCCGUAGAGAGGUAUUGUUUUAUGAAAUGCGAAAUUGCUUUGCUCUCUAAUUAUUGUGGAUAUUAUUGUAAUUGCUGGUUUUUUCUAUUUUUAUUCAUGAAGGAAAAUUCAAGUAUUUAACGCUUUGUGGGUAUAGGUAUAUGU